AAUACAUACUGAUUACCAAAAUACAGGAAUGUUUACAGAAAUGAUCUUUUCAUGGAGAAAACUAUCUUAAGAUUGAACAAACACCUAGAGGCUGCCAUGGGCAAGGCAUGAGCUCAGAUGUGGAAGCACCCUGGAAUCUCAAGUCUCAUACGACAAUGUUCUCAGGAUAGAAACAGAGAGAAAUUGAGAAGAAAGAGACUAAGAAGGAGAGAGGAAGAGAAACACCUACAGUACUGCUUCAAUACAUGUGAAGCUUUCCCCCUGCAGACAAAUCUACUUUUAUUCAUGUCAAGGUAAGAAAUCAGCUUUCACAGCCUUUGUAAUACACUCUUUACCCUUGUGUUCAAAUUGAGGAGAGAAGGAGACAGGAACAUCAUGAUGGUGCCCUCAUAUGCUGAGCAGGAUUUCCUGAGUCUUGAAGGAUUCCCCUGUCCCCUACUUUAAAUCCAGUGAUCACACUUGCUUGAAUUAACUUGUGUCUAAUAGGGAAAUCUAGAUUCUGCCAAGCAUUGGAGUGACAGCCAGUGGUCUUGGAGAGAUGAACUCUGAUGAGAAACCAGAGUGCUAUCCUGGUAUUCUCCCACUCCAGGACUUUUCCACUACAACUGAACUUUCUCAGGUACAGGGACAGAAAACUGGCGGCAGCCAAAAGACAGAUACCACAGCAUUAAAGCUUCCUCUGGCACAGGUACAGUGGGUUUCAGACUUGAACCUGGGUCACAUGCAUGACAAAACAGAAACACUCUCCAGGUGAGCUAUCUUGCCAACCCUAUGUAAUGUUCUUACAAAACUUAUGUUGAUUCUUGUCAUUAUUUAAAAUAA